CUUCACGAUCGCAUCGAUUUUCAUAAAUUUGUAUUUGCAAAUUUCCCCAGGUACACGCAAGAGCAGGAUUAUGAGCUAUUCACGUAUCAUGAAAUUAUAGGGUUUAUCUUAAUUGAUGGGAAGUGAAAACUGCAAUGUCUCCAUGACCAAUUAUGAAAAUCAGUUGAUGGUACAAUAUAAUGUAUAAGUUUGCUUCAUGCUUUGUUACAUUUGAUGAUGUUAAAGAGGGAGAGAGAAAAAGAUGAGCUUUCUUCUUACUCAUUGAUGUUUCAGAGGAUCUUCUUCCUGGCUUGGCUUGUAGAGCAGAUCAACAGAAACUGGUACAAUAAAAAAAAAAGAUUGCCUUUUUUUUAUUCCUGGUACAGAUUUUGUAUGUAUGACUGGUUCAAGCCAUUCAUAAAACUGUUUGUUUAAAUUUAUGUGUUUAACUUUGAUUCUAA